rnacentral:rRNA from 1 species
CUUGACGACCAUAGAGCAUUGGAACCACCUGAUCCCAUCCCGAACUCAGUAGUGAAACGAUGCAUCGCCG